GCCGAGGGGCUCGUCCUGACCGCCCUCGGGACGCCGAGCACGGCUUUGGCUGCGAUGCUGCUCUAGUCCCGGACCCCGAGAUGGGGAAGGAAGCCCCGGGCAGCGCGCAGCGGCGGGCCGAGCGGGGCGGGGCGGCGAGGGAGGAGCCCCUCGGGGGUGGUUUGCGGGGAUGAAUACUCAGCCGCGGGCACAGUCGUUGGGAGGUUUCAGUAGGUUCACCAAACACUGUGCGGGCACCUGCCCCGUUGGAACUGUUGAUGCGAAGAUGCGGAAGACGCGCGCCCUGACUCCGGGAGCACCUGCUCUGGCCGGGGCCGUAGAGACGCUGCGUGGGGCUGGAGCGGGAGGCGGGGGGGGCACGGGGCUAGAUGCGGAUCCCGGAUCGCGCGCGGGGCUGGGGACCUUGCACUUGCCUGGUAGGUGUGAGGCUCCUCUGAGCAAACUUCGCUAACUGCAGAGAAGUUGCACGUGCCCCAUCCACACAAACUGUGCCUAGGCCUGCCUCGCCCACCCACCCAAGAACUAAAACCUGAACCCCCCCCCCGCCCACCUCCCUAUCUCAGUAUUUAGGGUAACUCAAGCGCGCACCUCCCCCAGGAACCACAAAAAGGAAAACCAACAUUUCCAGGGUAAUAGCACAUGUUGGAGAGGAUGUGGAGAAACUGGAACACUCAUGUCUUGCUGGUGGGAAUGUAAAAUGGAGCAGCUGUCUUGAAAAACAGUUUGAAAGUUCCUGAGAAAGUUAAAUAUAGAAUUACCAUAGGACUCAGGGAUCCCACUCCUGGGUAUGUGCCCAAAGAGAACUGAAAACAAAACUUGUAUGUUAAUAGAAGCAUUAUUUAUAAUACUGAAACAGUGGAAACAACCCAAAUGUCUAUCAACUGAGGAAUGGAUAAAAGAAACACAGUAGACCCACAAAAUGGAAUAUUACUUGGCCAUCUAAAGGAGUGGGGCACUGGGACACUCCACAACAUGGAGAAAACUUGGAAACACGUCAAAUUUAAAGAACCAGAGACAAAGGCCACAUACAUGCCAUGUCCAGAAUAGGCAAAUCCAUAGACACAGUCCGGUUUGGGAGGGGGCGAUGGGGAGUGGCUGAUACGGGUACAGGGCUUCUUUUUGGAUUGAUGAAUUGUUCUGGAAUUAGUGGUGGCAGUUAAAUUCAUGAAUAUCCUAAAAAUGACUGAAUUGUACUUUAAAAGGUGAAUUUUACGAUAUGUGAAUUUUAUCUUUAAAAAAUGCAUAGGCACACUAGAGCAAGGGAAGAACACUAACCUGUUACGUGCAGUGAAUCCUAGGUAAAGGGAUUACAGGUAAGCCUUUCCUCCUCUUUGUACCUUUCCCCUGAGUUAAAAAAAAAAAUAAGAUCCAUUUAUUUAUUUGAGAGAGAGAGAGAACAUGAGCUGGAGGGGCAGAGGGAGAGGGAGAGAGACUCUGGAGCCGACUCCGCACUGAGCGCGGAGCCCAACGCGGGGCUGGAUCCCAGGACCCUGAGAUCGUGACCUCAGCCGAAACCAAGAGUUUGAGGCUUAACCACCUGAGCCGCCCAGGCGCCCUCAGUUUUUCUGCAAUGAGCAUAUAUUAUUUUAUCAGGAAAAAGAAUAAAACAGCAAAUGUGUACAACUCAGAGCUAGUGCUGAGGGACUGGGGAUGGAGAAGGGGAGAAAUAUUAUCCGCGGCAGAAGGGCAGGAGGAAUUGAGCGCCGCCCGGGGAUUACCAACUCCAACUCCUUUCCGGGCUUCUGGGGUGGAAUUAAAUGCUCCAGGUGCCAGGUUCACUUUCCGUGAGGGGUUUAAGCCCCGGGCGGCUUCUCACAAUCACACGGCGGCGCCAACAAGGCCUGUGGCUCGGGGACCGCCGGGUCGCUCCUGUCCCUCCGCCUCUUGCCGGGCCUGUUUUUCUGCUGGUGAAACGUGACGCUGCGCGCGCAGAACUAGCUUGUGGUCACACCUACAACGUGGGAUUUUUUUUUUCUAGAUUUUAUUUAUUUAUUUGACAGAAAGAGAGAAAGCGCACAAUCAGGGUGAGUGGGAGAGGGAGAAGCAGACUCCUCGCCGAGCAGGGAGCCCGAUGCGGGGCUCGAUCCCAGGACCCUGAGAUCACGACCUGAGCCGAAGGCAGACGCUUAACGACUGAGCCACCCAGGCGCCCCCAACGUGGGAUUUUUAAGAGCCUGUGUCAGGAGCACUGGUCACGGAACAGACCACUUUUCUUUCCGUGUAGAGAAGAAGGGGUCCUGCUCUCAGACUGUUUCUGAGACCGAUUCUACUUCCCGAUCCUCCGCCCAGGCCGCCGCUGGCUUUUCCGCUUCGUUGACGGAGUUCACGGGCAGUACUUGCGGACACGUCAGUAGAAUCGCCGUGGGACCGUCUGCACCGACGCGAGUGGAGGCGGAGGAGCGCGCUCGAAGGAACCGCCAGGACCCCGGCCUCGCCUUUCUCCACGCACCUGCCGCCCCGGAACCCGAGAAAGAGGCUUCGAGAGGGCGGGACUCCGCGCCCUCCGAACUAGAGCCCAGCCGAGCACGCGAGGGCUGCCCGGGGUUCCCGCAGCCCCGCGCGGGCCUCUCUGAGCCGCAGCCUCAGCCCCGCCCCGCGCCCCCUGCUGGGCCUCGGGCGCAUUGCACGUCGCCGCCGCAGUCAAGGCUCCAGACUUCGCGCACGUUGCAUCUGGUUACCUGAGGUGCUUGGAAGCCAGACUCGGGAAUGCUAUGCAGAUGCAGGAGGGAAUGAGCAAGCUGUACAUCAUGUGCUCACGGGACAGAGGCUCACCACAUAUUAUUAGGUGAGAAGAGCAAAGUAGGGAACAGCUUGUAUGAUAUGAUCUCUGUUGGAUUAAAAAAAAACAUGGAGCGCCUGGGUGGCUCAGUCAGUUAAGCAUAAGAUUCUUGAUUUCAGCUCAGGUCAUGAUCUUAGGGUGCCCUAAGAUGCCCUAAGGACCCCUGCCCCCAACCAUGCCCUCAGAAUAGAGAUGGUUGAUGAACCUGCACAUUGGCCCGCUUGAGAUGAGGACAAGGUGACCCCCCCCCCAUUCCAUUCCUUUGAGACUUUGCAGAGCCAGGAGGAAGCUGCCCACAUAGCCAGCCAAUGCCUCCCUCUGGACAUGUUCAGCUCCAGUUUUGAGGUCCUGGACAGUCCUGAAGUGGGCACCGUGACGCCCACUUCUCAGGAGCCCCAAGUAAAGGGGCUGAAGUGAAGGCCAGGAGACGGAGCUCUGUCCAGGACCUCCAGGCAGGGCAGGGCCCCCCAGAUGAGGUACAGUCUCCUGCCGAGGCUCCACAGGGCAUCUGAGGCAGGGGGUGAGUCCUGAUGCUCCGCACAGAGAUGGAAAUAGAGGGAGUGAGAGGGAGUGGUCCUGAGUGGAAAACGUGCCUUCCCUAAAGGCUGACUUUACCCGCUUCACCCCCACAUCCUCCUGCAGUGACGCUGGGAUCCAGCCCCACAGGGCACCUCAGCCUGGGCCAGAAAGAAGCAUGGCCUGGGGCUUCCAGGGAGGAGGAGAAGGUGAGGGACCUCUGCCUCGGGGAGGCAGGGAGGUGGCUGAGUCAGCUGUGUGUGAACUUCAUGAGAAGGAGAGGAGGUCCUGCCAGUCACCCUCAGCCUCUCCCUGCAACCCCCUAAAGUGCCAUCUUGCCAACGCUCCCCAUCCCUCACGCAAAAUCCCGAUAGUAAACUGGGACCGGCUUGCCAUCGGCAGGGAUCAAGAAGGUGGGUCAGCUGAUGCUGCCUGGAGGCCGAGUCUGGGUGCUAGAGGAAGAGAAGUCAGGACUCCAUGCUUGGACCGGAUCAUCCCCGUACCCCCCCCCCGCCCCCCAUCUCAGUUGGUAGAGGCAGUGGCAAAGACCUCCACUCAGGAGGGCAAGCCCAGCACCUGCCCUCCUGCUGAACUGAGUCUGGUGGCAGGGGUGGGGGGGAACGAAAGCGCCCUUGAGCAAAGUGAGUGCCGUCUGGCUGUCCAACACACAUUUUUUCCUGGUCCUGGUCUGGUCCUUCCCCACUCCGUCCUCUCAGGGUCCUUUCUGCCUCCAUCAAAGAGCUCCAGGCCUUCCUCCCUGCCACACUCAGCCUUUUAUCAGUUCACAUACCUGUGGCUUCCAAACCCUCAUUCAGAAGUGAUCUGGGGAGAAAGGAGGGUGGGAGUGAGCCCGGGGUGGUGGCAGAGCCUCUGUGUCCCCCUCUCUGUGGGAGGCUGUUUGUCUGAGUUGGGUGGAGGCCAAUGAGAUGCACAGGAUCAGGGUGUCCUGGCCCUGAGACAGGGGCUGUUUGUCUUCUCUGCUCUGGGAGGAGGAGGGACGGCCCAGGAACAGUGAUGGAGGAGAGGGAAGACACUCCAUCAAACCCCAGAGGAGUGCAUGCAGGUGGGGUGGGCUCCCUGUUGUGAGAUGUGGCCCUGGCGAAAAGCCCUGCAGCUCCCUGACUUGGAGAAUCCGGGAGAGACAACGAAGAGGGAUGAGCGGGAACCCCAGCAAGUCCCAGGCUUGACUCCACAGCUGCCUUCCGUGCUGGUUUGUCCCUCUCCCAGCCGGCGCCUCCUCUUUGUCAGGUGCCCGAAGAAGCUAGGUGUCCUGAGGUCCCCUCCAGUUCCAAAAGCACAUGAUCUUAGUAAUGCGAAGCUACUGAUGUAGGGCUGCCGGGCGGAGAGAAAUGAAGGCUGCGAGGCGAUUGGAAGCUGGAACCGUUUCUAAAUGGUUAUUCCUGGAGGGAGUCCUCCUUCUGCACUGACAGCAAACAAAAAAGAAACAGGCUUAUCCUGGGUGUUGAAAUGUUCUGUAUAAGGAGUACCUGGGUGGCUCAGCCAGUUAAGCAUCUGACUGUUGGUUUCAGUUCAGGUCCUGAUCUCAUGGGUUGUGGGAUCAAGCCCCAUGUGGGGCUCUGUGCUCAGUAGGGGUCUGCUUGAAUAUUCUCUCCCUCUGAGCCUUCCCCCACUCCUGCUCUCUCUCUCUCUCAAAUAAAUAAAAAUUCUUUUUUUUAAAGAUUUUAUUUAUUUAUUUGACAGAGAAAGACACAGCGAGAGAGGGAACACAAAUGGGGAGUGGGAGAGGGAGAAGCAGACUCCCUGCCGAGCAGGGAGCCCGAUGCGGGACUUGAUCACGGGACUCCAGGAUCAUGACCUGAGCCGAAGGCAGUCGUUUAACCAACUGAGCCACCCAGGCGCCCCAAUAAAAAUUCUUUUAAAAAAGAAUAUUUAUUUAUCUGACAGAGAGAGAGAGAGAGAGAGAGAAAGCACAAGCAGGGGGGAGGGCCAGAGGGAGAAGCAGACUCCCCGCUGCGCAGGGAGCCCAAUGCGGGUGGAUCCCAGGACCCUGGGAUCAUGAACUGAGCCGAAGGCAGACGCUUCACCGACUGAGCCACCAAGGUGCCCCAAUAAAAAAAUCUUUAGAAAUGUUCCGUAUGUUGAUCUGGAGGUUAGUUCCACGGCGUGUACCAUGUAAACGUUACUGAGCUGUCUGCAUAAGAUCUGUGCCCCUCGCACGUACAUGUACACUGUACCUCGACAGAAAGUUUUGAACAGUGAGCGUGGACUCCAGCAAGAGCUUAGACUCCAGGGGAGACUGUGGAGAUGUGUGUUCCCACCCAGGGAGGUUAAGGACCUCCCUUUUCUUGAGAAUUUACACUAAGAGCUGGUGGGACAAAUGAGCUGACCUCUUUUGGAGAGCUUUCCAAAAUCCUUCUCAGGAAUUCCCAUUUUCCUCCCAGGCACAGAGACCCCUCCUUGUUGCCAAGCUGCCUGCUGUCUCUCCCACUGCAAUUCCAAGCACACACUCUGCCCUCCGUGGAGCCAGGCCAUCCCUGGCCUCACACCACAUCUCUCCCGAGGCUUGAAGCUUGAGGAUGGAAGGGGCCCCAUUUCAACCUUCUCACCAACCAGGGCCCCCCCUUUCCCUGGGGAUGUCCAUCCUGUUCAGAGCCUGCCCCCACCUAGGCCCUUUUUCCGGUGGUGUGUGCCAGCCGGUCCUGCAUCCCACAUCCCCAGCUGUUGACAUUUCGUUGCCUUUGCCCACAGGAUAAAGAAAGGGCCCCUGUUAUUCAACAAUAGGGGGAAAGACAGAGACAAUGAGAAAUUGUGCUUCCAAUGGGGUGGGGCCAGAAAAGGAAAGUACAGACAGACGGACAGACAGGGGGCUGGACAGAAGGGGUCCGGUUUCUUGAAGCUGCUGGAGGUCCUGGAAGUCUGGUUCCCACCUUGAGAGCCUCUUCCCACAGGCAAUGCACACCCAGUCUCCGGAGGAAAGAGGUGAGGACUCUGUGGGGCGAGGGGAGGGGGUGCUGCUUGGAUGAGGCCCAUGUGGAAACGCAGAGACCACAGGAGCCUGACCAUGGGUCUGUGAGCUCAUCCGCAGUCAUCCUCACGCACAGCGGCCCAACGUCUUCAUACCCACCAGUCCGUCUGCUCCUUCUCUGGGCCAAGAACAUCUAGAAGAAGCGAGGCACCCCACCUUCCACAUUCCUCCAGGUAAUCUUUCCCCGGUGCCUCCUUCACUCCAUCCCCUCGGGGGUCCCCACCCCGGCCCCAAGCGCCACAUCUUCCCCAGGCCCAGGACAGUGAGCAGUGCAGACUAGUGCUGGGUCAGAGGCUGGACACCAGUCACUUAGCCUGGCUUGGUGGACUGACAGGUGGAAAAGUUUUCUCAGCGCCUUGGCUGCUUCUGUGAGCUCAGGGCAGAAGCCUCUCCUCAAAGGUGCAAAAGGAGAGACCCCACUGAUCAGGUGCCCAAGUCCCAGGGCUCUAAGGUGCUUGGACCUGCCUGGGGCCCAGGCACCUCCUUCACUGGAACCUCUUCCUGGAGCAGGGCAAAAGGCAGCCAGUCCCUGUCGCUCCCAUCUCUGUGAAGAGACCGGCUUCUAACAGGUAGGCACUGGGGGCUGUUGGCUUUCUCAUUCUCUGCAAGGGCUACAAAGAGGGUAUGUGUGUGUCUGCUUUGAAAUGCAGAAAUACAGCCCAGCGGUUAAGAAGGAGCUUGAGCCUUCAGUCAAAUCCGGGUUCAAAUCCCAGCAAACCUUCCUCUUACUAGCUGUGUGACCUUACUCAAGUCUCCUAUAAUUUGUACAACUUUAAGCGGGAGUAAAAGGGACGCGUAAUCAUUCCCACCUCACGUCCUUGCUGAGAGGAGUAAAUACCAGAUACACGUGGGAAGUGCUGGGGCGGUCUCACGCAGGUCUCAUGCAGGUCUCCUGGUGGGUGUCCCCCCCACCCCCCGCUGCCACUCUUCUCACCAGGCCGGCGGGCACAGGUGCACAGGGCAUGUCCCCACCCAGGUACCUUCCCUCUAGCGGCUGGGAAGCCCUCGGAGCCCAGCCCCCAUUUCUCCUGGGGCAAGCGGGGCGUGGCCUUCAGUUGCAGGAAGAGGGGCUCAGCCCCUUGGCUUCCGACUCUCCCCACGUCCCAGCUCACCUUCCCAGAAUCCUUAGUGUGGGCUCAUUCAUUAACAUGCACACACAUUUAUUUAGCACCUACUGUGUGCCAGAAACUAUGCUGGGUGCUGCAGAUAAUAGCUAACACAUACAUGGCACUUACUACAUACCAUACACGAUUUUAAGCAUUUUACGUGUGUUCCUUCGGUGAGAUAGGUGGGAAUUAUUAUCCACAUGUUUACUGAUGAGGACACUGAGGAAGAGAGAAGUAAAUAACUCGUUCAAAGCCAUGCAAUUAGCACUUGGAAGAAUCAGGGUUAGAAAACGAGUAAAGCUAGGUUAAGGUGUCCUCAGCCCUAUUUUUAAAAAAUGGUCAAGUUGAUAAAGAACAGAUAACAAUAAAGAAGGGAAAAAUCGGGGGGCGCCUGGUUGAAUCAGUCUGCAGAGCCUGUGACUCUUGAUUUCAGGGUCGUGAGUUCGAGCCCCACAUUGGGCAUGGAGUCUACUUAAUAAAAUAAAGAAAAGAUGGGCGCCUGGGUGGCUCAGUUGGUUAAGCGACUGCCUUCGGCUCAGGUCAUGAUCCUGGAGUCCCGGGAUCGAAUCCCACAUCGGGCUCCCUGCUCGGCGGGGAGUCUGCUUCUCCCUCUGACCCUCCUCCCUCUCAUGCUCUCUGUCUCUCAUUCUCUCUCUCGCAAAUAAAUAAAAUCUUUAAAAUAAAAGAAAAGAAAGAAAAGAAAAAGAAGGGGAAAAUACACUACUGGAAUAGAAAACUGUGUUUGGAAUUAGUUCCAUAACUGAAAUCACGGGAUACCUCCCUGAUGCAGUCAACAGGGCAUAGGUAUUACUUUCAAAUCCGCACUGCUAGUUCAGCUGCUAACAAAAGCACUUCCGAGAACGAGUGCCCAGGCCGGUGCAGCCCGGGACCCAGAAGAGCAGGUCACGGCGCACUCCAGUGUGGCCAGCCAGGGAAGAGGAGGGGUUUCCCAGAGGAGGUGAGGCCGACAGUGAUGCCUGGGAGAAGGAGGUGAGAGUGAAUUCGGACUCUUCUGGAGCCAGAAGUCCAAGGUGUCUGGAACACCGUGCUGAGGGCGCAGCUGGUGGGAGGCAAUGUGGAAGGCGCAGGGAGAGGCGGGAUCCCAGAGGGCCCUGCAAGCCGCGGUUAGGAGACCAGACUUUAUCCUCCGGGCAAAGGGAGCCAGUGCUUUAAGCAGG